UGGCUGGCCUGGCGCCGCACCAGGUGGCCGCGCACCAGCGCCUGCAGCUUGACGAGCCCGCGCAGCGCGCACAGCGCCUUCCUCGCCUGCAGCCAGAGUGUGGCAGACACACAGAAAGAGACGUCACGGCACGUCACGCAGCCCAAGGAUCGAAGUGAUACGAUUGAGGUGAAGUCAGCACUCAGCAGUGGAUACGACGAUGCGAUACCGAUACGACUAACGAGCGAGGUCAAGUCAACUGAUAGCCAGCCUAGUACUUACCAGGUAGGAUCUGAAGACGGCCUGGAUCUUUAUCGCGGCGGCCUCCUCGAUUCCGAUGACGGUGCGCUUGGACCCCGGCGCGGACAUGGAGAGCCUGGCGGCGACGGCGGCGGCCUGCUUAGCCGCCAUGGCCGCCUCGGCCGCGGCGGCGGUGGCGAUGGCGACGGCGAUGGCGUGCUGGUCCGGGUCCACCCGCGGCUCAAGGAAGCCGUAGGGCGCGAGGUGGCCCCGCGCGACGUCCUUGGCCGCCGCCGCCGACCCGGGCCCGGGCGACGCCGCCGCGGCCGGGCGGCGGAAGCUCCACCUCCGCUUCUCCUUGGCGCCGGGCGUGGACCCCGGCGUCGUGGCGACUCCCGGCAGCGGCAGCGCCAGCGCCAGGUCGGGCUCCGCCGCCGGCGCGAGCGCCCCGGCCUUGUUGUCCCUGCCCCUCCUGCUGCCCGGGAGGAAGCUUCUGAGCCACUUGCCCGCCUUGCCCAUCUGCGGACGAGUGGCGGCGCCGGCGGCGCAGAAUCAGAAGGCGUCACUGAGCGGCCGCAUCGGAGGCGGCUUGCAGAGGAAGAGAGUAUAGAGAGCGGAUGAAGGUACUGGUUGGCCUGACGCUCACGGCACGGCGAGGUCCGGCAUGUGGCAGCUGCGUGCGGAAGCAGUGGCUGUGGAUGACUAUGAGUGCAGCGGAGGGGAAGCCGGGAGCGGAAAGGAAUGGAAUGGAAUAUAUUAGAGGCAGCAGCGGGCGCCAUGGCCAUGUGCGCGGUGCAGCGCUGCGCGCGGCAGAUCACGCCGGCAAUAACUAGUAGGAGGCCAGGACCAGGACCAGGACCCGGGACCAGGACGAGCGGCAGCCGGCAGGGGAUCCAGUCCAGGCGGGCACGCACGUCGAUGGCGCGCUCACGGUUCGUUUCGCAGGCAACAGCCAACAACAGCGCAUCCACGUGUCAUGAUGUGAGGAAGCGAAUGGGAUUCUGGAGCUCCGAAAGCUGAAUGAACGGAUGGUCGAUUGUUGAGAGGGGGGUUGGUGCUGAUUGCUCGUCAAAUGUUGAUUUGGAUGUUGAGAGCUACUAAGUGUAUAGCAAGCAUUGAGCGAGCCAGAGACUGCGACUGACAGUCCAUGCCAUGAGCCAUAUCGUC
rnacentral:misc_RNA from 1 species